rnacentral:rRNA from 1 species
GAUGAACGCUGGCGGCGUGCCUAAUACCUGCAAGUCGAGCGCACGGACGAGAAGCUUGCUUCUCUGAUGUUAGCGGCGGACGGGUGAGUAACACGUGGAUAACCUACCUAUAAGACUGGGAUAACUUCGGGAAACCGGAGCUAAUACCGGAUAAUAUUUUGAACCGCAUGGUUCAAAAGUGAAAGACGGUCUUGCUGUCACUUAUAGAUGGAUCCGCGCUGCAUUAGCUAGUUGGUAAGGUAACGGCUUACCAAGGCAACGAUGCAUAGCCGACCUGAGAGGGUGAUCGGCCACACUGGAACUGAGACACGGUCCAGACUCCUACGGGAGGCAGCAGUAGGGAAUCUUCCGCAAUGGGCGAAAGCCUGACGGAGCAACGCCGCGUGAGUGAUGAAGGUCUUCGGAUCGUAAAACUCUGUUAUUAGGGAAGAACAUAUGUGUAAGUAACUGUGCACAUCUUGACGGUACCUAAUCAGAAAGCCACGGCUAACUACGUG